UAUCAACUUCUUCCAGGGAAGAGAGCUUUGUAUUCUGUUUCAGUCGUCUUUACAGAGCAGGGGAGAAGGAAGUUGUAGGGAAGCCUCUUGCGCGGCAUCUGCUCUCUUCUCCAUCCUGAAAGUGAUUCAGAGUCUUUCUGGAACAUUGUGCUUCGAUGUGAAAUUACAUGAGAGCAGUGUGAGUUGUUGUAGAAGGUGCAUCUGGUGAUGAGACAAGACUGAGAAUAAAGACAGGGCAAGGGAGAGCGACAGUGUGCCCCGAGAAAUGAAGCUUACCUACCAGGAAAUUAAAAGUGACUCCUGGAAGCUCUGCAGAGGAAAGGAAACAUCUAAACUGACAUUUUGGGCAUGAUUUUAAGCAAGAAUUUAGCAAUCUUGUACCUACAAGAUGGUCUCACACAGUAAAUAUGUGAAGGCAAAGGCUGAUACAUACAUUGCAUUGUUUACAUCAGAGAAAAAAGAAGCAGAGAAACAGGUACAGAAAUAAAUCAAAAUAAAAGAGGUUUUAGGUGGCUGGUAGCUGUUCCAUUCCUGUCUGUAUAGAGGGCUCAUAGGAGUGUUGGGUGACUACCCAUAGUAUAAAAUGGGGAAGUUGUAGAUUAGAUGCAUUACAUGCAUGGCUUUUGUUAUUGUGGCUUAGGCAUGGACUUUUCAAGCACUGACUCCCACAUGAAGGAUUUCACAUGGGACGUGAAAGGAAGGGAAGAGAUUUGGUAACAUCUCCUAAUCUAACAUAUUGUGACUACAGACACAAAUUUUCCCCCUCAUGAAUUAUUAUUUUAUAAGGAAUGAUACACAAUUCUCUGGUCAAGAAAGCCAGCUUUGUUGUUUCCAUAGAGACAGAUCAUUUGAAAUCCUACCUGUGCCUAGAACAUUCUCUCAAGCCAGCGGCUAUUGUUUCUCCCUCCUACCUCCUACUACCUGUAACCCCUCUCCUACACAAAUGUAUCGAAAUCUGCUUUCAGUCCCACACAAAUUACAUUUAAUAUGUAGAGCAAUUUCUGUAGACAUUAGAGAGAUUUCAGCUGGAGAAAGAGUUUAUGGGUCAUGUGAGAAAAUCUAGAGUUCUAAAAGUCUUUGUAAAUUCAAUAUAAAUUAAGAACCAUUCACAUAAGACAAUUUUUAGCCUUAUCUUCCUCUCUUACAAUACAACCUCCAGGAAAUUUCAGAAUAUAUUCUUUAUAUUCUCAAUCUCCUGGUCUAUUAUACACUUUGUGAUAACAUUUACUAAGAUUAUAAAAGAUAUUUUUUACUCAUUAAAAAUCAUUAGUGUGAUAGCAUUUAUAGUUUUUAAUUCAGAAAUUAAUAGUUUCUCUGUCUGGUAUAUCUUAGAAUUUCAUCUGUAAUUUUGUUUUAUGUUGACCAUGAAUCAUGAGCUGUUUCUAUAGAAACAGCUUCAUCAUAAAGCAUUACCAUAAUCACAGAUACAGAAUAUUUUUACAACAAAAAUCCUUGUAUAUAAAUGUAUAUAUUUAUAAAACUUUUAAUGUACUUUAAAAGCAACCACUGCUUUUAAUUUUUUAAUUACCAUUUUCCUGCCACCUGAACUAUCAAUAUUUCUUUAUACAUUUAAGACAUUUUUAAAGAAUAAUUUGAUUGGUGACAAGGGCAUGAAUGGCAUUCACACAAAAGGGAAAAAUCAAACGCAAAAGGUUUUUAAAUGAGAAAACUUGGGUUAUAAAAGACAAUCAAGCAUUUUCUCAAGUACAAGAAUAUAAAGGAAAACCUAUGUAAUCCAGAGAAAAUACAUUGAAUAUAUACAUAUACAUACAUAUACAUACAUACAUGUACAUACACACACAUGUACACACACACAUGCACGCACACACACACACACACAUACACAUACAUGCAUACAUAUAUAUGCCUGACCAUUUUGGUUAUAAUUGUAUCAUUCAUGCUACAAGUUAUGUUUGCUCUAAGCUAGCAAUUUGGUUUUGAAACAUUCAUAUUCAGAGUGUAUUGCUUAUAUCUUAUAAACAUACAAAAGUAACUACCACAUUCAGAGCUGAUGAGAGACUAACCCCGAACAUUUCCACCUAUUUCCUUUCCAUAUAAUAUUGCCCAUAUCAUACAGCACAUCUCAAAGAAAUCAUGGUGAGAACAAAAGUUCUUGGUUCAAGCCAACUGCUGCGCUGAGACCAAUCAGCCCAGAAAGAAGAUUCACUGCAAAGGUGUAUACUGGCCAAGUGAAAAAUUCUACCUAAGGAACAAGGAUCACAGCAAAUCACAUUAGGCACAAUGGAUUGUAUUUUUGUUUUAUGAUGUCAUUUCAUUAUCCUAUUGGAAUUCACAGUACUUCUAAUUGUGAAACAUCUCAGUGAGAACUGCCCUUUGUGUUGUAGGACUCUCCCUUCAGGCAGUGGGGUUGGGCUGAGGCUUACAAAAAGAGUGCAAAGAACCAAUAAUGAAGCUCAGAAGACUCCCCUUCUAGACUAACUCAUCCAGUCCACCUCCAUUACUGGUGGUUCAAAACCAAAAUGUCAGAUAACAGCAGCAGCAGCAGCAACAACAACAACAACAAUAAUAAUAUAAAGCAUGCUUUCAAGGGAAAGAAGGAAUAUAAAAAUUAUUCAAGUUCACCAUCCCAUACUUGCACCACCACCCCUGCUCACCACCAAAAGGAAAAAUAGGUCAAAUCCAAUUUGUGUUACCUGUAUACUACUCAUUGGAGCAUCAUCAAAGUCCCAGCAGCCAGCCCCUUAAAGAAAACUGAGUCCUUCCCCAUCCCCCCUGCCAGAAGCCAUCACCUGUGAGGAGCUACACUUCAUCAUCUUUAUUACAAAUUUUAAGCAAUCUCUUCUGUAGCUUCCCAUCUGAAUUGUUUCUCUUUUGGUGGGGGAGGGGAAGAGGUUAUCACAGAAUCUUUCAAUGUGUCUCAUUUUCAGUUAUGAGUUUGUAGUAUUAGUAGGUUUUAAAUGCUAAAAAAGAAGGAAAGAUAGUUAGUAAUAUAAAUGAAUAAAUAAGCU